UUCAACAACAAACAUACUCCCAUAAGCAUUAGAAAAUACAAUUAUUUCAUGUUACAGAAGACGGUGGACAAUUCAGUGACCAAAAAGGAUAGAAUUACACACAUUGACACCAAUCCCAAGUCCAUCCUCAUGAAAUUCACUCACCGAGGGCUCUGCACAAACUCUUUCCCCACAGAUGACUCAAAAGCUAAACCACAGCGGCAUAAACGUAGCAGUAGACACUCUGUCCGCCCACCAGAGGAAAGAUCCCGGGCUGAAUCACAAAGCAGAUAGAUGAACUAAAAAAGAACUGGAGCAUGUUGAGUGUAUUGCAGAGCACAGCCUCUCCACAUCAGCAAAGAAAAGCAAUGGCCCCAGCAAUGGAAGAGGUGAGGAACUAGGCAGAGCUUCCACAGAAAGGGCUGCCAACGUCUGUUACCAAGGGAACAGUGACUAGCAGCCUGUCCUGAAUAGUGUUUUCUAAUCUAUGGUCCCAUUAAUUGUACUAUAUUUGUACAAUAGUUAUUGUACAAGCUAGCCAAAGAUGGACAUAUGGACUUCCAGAUUCUCUACUGUACUUUUCAGUUCCCUAACCAUGGGACACAGAGGGGGGGAUUUAGCACUGAACCGAGACAUGGAAAAGCAUGUUUCAAGAUUAUCAGAUGUUGUGCCUUGAGAGUAGAUUUAACAUAGUUGCCUGGCUAUAGUAAAGUUGACAAAGGUGAGAAGAAUCCAGUUAUUCUAAUAUUUAUUGAGCUUUGGCAGAUUUUUUUUUUUUUAACACUUUUAUAUACAACCACUUGUAAAGGAAAACUAGGAAAUGCAGUUGUAGAGAAAAAAAAACAUUUUGCACUGAAUUGGAAUUUAUUUCCCAUAAGAAAAAAGAUGGAAACUGGUCUGUCAAUGUUCUUGUCCCAUUUUUUAUGCUGAACCUGUAUGCUGGGAUUUGGUUUCUCAUGCACCCACCAGAGGCUGGAAUGAUGGUGGCAGUAACUUGUCUCGAAGGAGCUUUAUUUUGUUUAUUUAAAAAUGUACAGUAUUUAAAAAGCUGUUAACACUGAACUAGCGGAACGACAUUGCAGGUGACAAUUUGGACUACUGAGGUCAAUUUCCAGAUUUUGGUUCGGUAAACUGUUUGUCUGUUUGUUAAUGAUCAUUCAGGUACUUCUUAAAUAAAACCUGAACUUUCAUCUAGAUCCAAAACCAUUUGUUUCUUGUCAGGUCUACCUUUUUGUCCUGAGAAUGAGUGAA
rnacentral:lncRNA from 1 species